CGAACGUGGGGAACCGUGCCCCAUAGUCUGGGAUACCACUUGGAACAGGUGCUAAUACCGGAUAAGAAAGCGGAUCGCAUGAUCAGCUUUUAAAAGGCGGCGUAAGCUGUCGCUAUGGGAUGGCCCCGCGGUGCAUUAGCUAGUUGGUAAGGUAAAGGCUUACCAAGGCGAUGAUGCAUAGCCGAGUUGAGAGACUGAUCGGCCACAUUGGGACUGAGACACGGCCCAAACUCCUACGGGAGGCAGCAGCU
rnacentral:rRNA from 1 species